AUAUGCACUUUGUAUUUAUAGAGGAAGCUUCCAAUUAACUAGUAAGACUGACUUGUCCAUGUAAAAGAAUCAGUGUGUAGGAGCUGUGUGAGCCAUUUUGAAUGUUUUGGAUACCCUUGUGGUGCAUUGAAUUGCAGAAGUUCAUUGAAUAUUGAAGACUGAGAUUGAGAAAGAUCACUCGAAACGAACGCAG